CCUACGGGGGGCAGCAGUGGGGGAUAUUGCACAAUGGGGGGAACCCUGAUGCAGCGACGCCGCGUGGGUGAAGAAGCGCCUCGGCGCGUAAAGCUCUGUCAGCAGGGAAGAAAAUGACGGUACCUGACGAAGAAGCCCCGGCUAACUACGUGCCAGCAGCCGCGGUAAUACGUAGGGGGCAAGCGUUAUCCGGAUUUACUGGGUGUAAAGGGGGCGCAGACGGCGAUGCAAGCCAGGAGUGAAAGCCCGGGGCCCAACCCCGGGACUGCUCUUGGAACUGCGUGGCUGGAGUGCAGGAGGGGCAAGCGGAAUUCCUGGUGUAGCGGUGAAAUGCGUAGAUAUCAGGAGGAACACCGGUGGCGAAGGCGGCCUGCUGGACUGCAACUGACGUUGAGGCCCGAAGGCGUGGGGAGCAAACAGGAUUAGAUACCCGGGUAGUC
rnacentral:rRNA from 1 species